rnacentral:rRNA from 1 species
AGAGUUUGAUCCUGGCUCAGGACGAACGCUGGCGGCGUGCUUAACACAUGCAAGUCGAACGGUGAUCCGGGGCUUGCUCUGGUGAUCAGUGGCGAACGGGUGAGUAACACGUGAGUAACCUGCCCCUGACUCUGGGAUAACUGCUGGAAACGGUGGCUAAUACCGGAUAUGAAGCUGCCCUGCAUGGGGUGGUUUGGAAAGAUUUUUUGGUCAGGGAUGGGCUCGCGGCCUAUCAGCUUGUUGGUGGGGUGAUGGCCUACCAAGGCGACGACGGGCAGCCGGCCUGAGAGGGCGACCGGCCACACUGGGACUGAGACAUGGCCCAGACUCCUACGGGAGGCAGCAGUGGGGAAUAUUGCACAAUGGGCGAAAGCCUGAUGCAGCGACGCCGCGUGAGGGAUGAGGGCCUUCGGGUUGUAAACCUCUUUCAGCAGGGAAGAAGCGAGAGUGACGGUACCUGCAGAAGAAGCGCCGGCUAACUACGUGCCAGCAGCCGCGGUAAUACGUAGGGCGCAAGCGUUGUCCGGAAUUAUUGGGCGUAAAGAGCUCGUAGGCGGUUUGUCGCGUCUGCUGUGAAAACCUAAGGCUCAACCUUGGGCUUGCAGUGGGUACGGGCAGACUAGAGUGCGGUAGGGGUGACUGGAAUUCCUGGUGUAGCGGUGGAAUGCGCGAUAUCAGGAGGAACACCGAUGGCGAAGGCAGGUCACUGGGCCGCAACUGACGCUGAGGAGCGAAAGCAUGGGGAGCGAACAGGAUUAGAUACCCUAGUAGUCC